rnacentral:rRNA from 1 species
CGGACGGGUGAGUAACGCGUGGGUAACCUGCCUCAUACAGGGGGAUAACAGUUGGAAACGGCUGCUAAUACCGCAUAAGCCCACGGCUCGGCAUCGAGCAGAGGGAAAAGGAGUGAUCCGCUUUGAGAUGGCCUCGCGUCCGAUUAGCUAGUUGGCGAGGUAACGGCCCACCAAGGCGACGAUCCAUAGCCGACCUGAGAGGGUGACCGGCCACAUUGGGACUGAGACACGGCCCAA